AUCAUUGUUAUCAGCUACUAUGGUAAGCCAUGCCCUACUAGAGUCCAUCCAUUGGCAGGGUAGGGUAACCAUGGUGAAUAAGGUGCUAGUUGCUAUGGAAACGCUAUUCUGAAGCAACCAACUGGUACAUUUGUUUGAGUUUUGGAUUGCUGUACCUCCCCACCAAAGCACUUGGUUUGUAUGUAUAACUUGCUGCUUUAGUCAUGUUUUGAUUUUUUUUUAUUUUGCAUUUUCAUACUUAUAAGAUGUACAGUAUGUGGAUGUAUGUAUUUUUUCAGGCUGUUAGUACCUUUUAAAAUAGUCUCUCUCUCACUCUCAAACACAGACAAACAGCACACUCGGGAUGGUUUUGUUUUUUCCCACUCGGGCACGCAUAAAACACACUCAAACAGAAACGCAAAAAUGUGGCAACUGACAUAUGGGCGUACAGAGAACAGGGUUGGUAGAGCAGGCCGCUGAACCAACAUGGCUUGGACAGGACCUAUUUAUUGAUGCUCGUGUGAGUGACUGCUCCUCCUCUCUCGUCCCCUCCUCCGGGCUCCUCUUUCUCUCCUCUAAACAGCUUGCAGUCGUUUGUGAGGAGGGUAGUAUUGCUGAGUGUAUCCAUGGCUGCUCGAUGGCCAUCGUGUGCUUCAUUAACCUCGGAGCUGGCAGAGGACGAACUGAGUACUUCAAGGAAAAGACAGAAAAGUACCACAGCAACUUCUAACGUCCACACACCUUUGCACUGUCUGUCAAUGCCACAUGUUCGGGUUCCUUUCCCCCUCUUCUAUCUUUUCCUAGAAAUGAUAUUGUACACCUUCCCAAGGCUAGUUGGCAUGGUGACGCUGAUGGGAUGGCCGUUGCUAGGAGAUGCACAGAGCGGCCAAAAAGAGCAUCGUCACGGUGAGAAGAAGGCGAUCCCUGGAUGGGCUGCUUCCACUGACGCUCUUCUCCAGCUUGGGAAUAACAGGAUUAAAUUCAGCUGGAAAAAUAAAAGAGAAUGAGAAACUAUUAGAAUGUAACAACAACAGGAGAGAUACAGAGAGAGAUCUCAUUUAUAAUCAUGUCAGAUGAGAAUUUUUCUGUACUUUUAAUCCCAGAUUUUAUUAUUUGGUCAUUCAGACGCCGUCUUUAACAUCGGCAGCGCUCCUUACAUUAGCUGCAAAAUUUCUAUGUCUGAUCUUAGUCCAACCCAGUACUACCAAGUGCCUGGAGUACACAGUAAUACACUAAAAUUAUAGAUAAUAUAAAAUAUCAGCAAGAGCCUCUACUAAAUGAGACUUCAGCUAAACCUCAGGGUACAAAAUUUAGGCACUUUUUUUUUUCUCAGUCGACGUGGCUGGGAUGUGUUAUUCUGUAUGGCAAAGUAUCACAGGGUACAGUACCCAAACACACUGAGCCUUACAGGACUUGUUAGUGUGUUUUUAGUUUUAAACAAGCACAUUUUUUUCAGCUAACUUCUAUCUCUUGUUACCUGCCCUCUGUACCAGGACUACAGUUGGCUUCAAAUGGAGCGCUUUGUUUUGCAGUACACUCCACUGACAUAAAACAGUCACAUUUCCUAAAGAAAUAUCUUGGUUUUUGAAACAAGAAUAGCAUGUUUACGCAAUCCACAAAGCUAAGCAUAAGUCUGCAUCAUGUUUGAAUUCAGUUGUUCAAAGUCUGGCUCUUUGUCUCAGACGGCAUGUUGCCCAUCCCUGACUUAGAUCAUCUGACCAGAUGCUCCAGGUGGUUUUAAGUCCAAGUUACAAACAAAGAGGUAUUGUACUUUUUCAGCUGGCACCUCUAAGCUUCGGAACAGACUGCCCGUUCAUAUCAGACCUGUCCUACAUUUUUCCCCUCUAAAUCCUCACUUAAGACCUACCUGUCUGAUGGAAUUGAGACCCGUAUGUAUUUGGGUAGGCAAUGUAAUAAAGCGAUCACUGUUUAGAUUAUCUAUUGCCCAGUUGUCUUUUUUCCCUGUGUUUUGCUGGCAUAGUUGUACAACACUUUUUUGCUGCU